GAAGAAGGGGAGGACAGAGAAUGAGGUGGCUGGAUGGAGUCACUGAAGCAGUCGGCGUGGGUUUAAAUGGACUCCAGGGGAUGGUAGAGGACAGGAAGUCAUGGAGGAACGUUAUCCGUGGGGUCACGAUAGGUCGGACACAACUUAGAA